rnacentral:rRNA from 1 species
GACGAACGCUGGCGGCGUGCUUAACACGUGCAAGUCGAACGGAAAGGCCCUGCUUUUGUGGGGUGCUCGAGUGGCGAACGGGUGAGUAACACGUGAGUAACCUGCCCUUGACUUUGGGAUAACUUCAGGAAACUGGGGCUAAUACCGGAUAGGAGCUCCUGCUGCAUGGUGGGGGUUGGAAAGUUUCGGCGGUUGGGGAUGGACUCGCGGCUUAUCAGCUUGUUAGUGGGGUAGUGGCUUACCAAGGCUUUGACGGGUAGCCGGCCUGAGAGGGUGACCGGCCACAUUGGGACUGAGAUACGGCCCAGACUCCUACGGGAGGCAGCAGUGGGGAAUAUUGCACAAUGGGCGGAAGCCUGAUGCAGCAACGCCGCGUGCGGGAUGACGGCCUUCGGGUUGUAAACCGCUUUCGCCUGUGACGAAGCGUGAGUGACGGUAAUGGGUAAAGAAGCACCGGCUAACUACGUG